rnacentral:tRNA from 1 species
GUUAAUGUAGCAUAGCCUGGUUUUGCUAAAGAUCUAAGCCCUUCCCACAGAGGUUCAAAUCCUCUCAUUAACU